rnacentral:lncRNA from 1 species
ACAUUAUUAUUUGUCAGUCACCAUAUAAAUGUGCCCCUUCACCCCUUGUACCCAUUUCCCAACCCCCUUCCCCUGUGAUAACCACUAAACUGUUGUCUUUGUCCGUGAGUUUCUCCAACAUAUGAGUGAAAUCAUACGGUAUUUGUCUUUCUCUGUCUAGCUUAUUUUGCUUAACAUAAUACCCUCCAGGUCUAUCCAUGUUGUUGUGAAUGGGACGAUUUUGUCUUUUUUCUGGCUGAGUAGUAUUCCAUUGUAUAUAUAUACCACACCUUCUUUAUCCAGUCAUCGGUCGAUGGGCACGUGGGUUGCUUCCACUUCUUGGCUAUUGUGAAUAAUGCUGCAAUGUAACUCCCUUUGAAUUGUUGAUCUCAAAUUCUUUGGAUAAAUAACCAGUAGUGGGAUAGCUGGGUCAUAUGGUAGUUCUAUUUUUAAUAUUUAGAGAAAUCUCCAUACUGUUUUCCAUAGUGGCUGCACCAGUUUGCAUUCCCACCAGCAGUGGAUGAUGGUUCCCUUUUCUCCACAUCCUCUCCAACAUUUGUUAUUUUUUUGUCUUGGUGUUUAUAGCUAUUCUAAUGGGUGUAAGGUGAUAUCUCAGUGUAGUUUUAAUUACAUUUCCCUGAUGAUUAGUGAUGCUGAACAUCUUUUCAUGUGUCUACUGGCCAUCUGUAUAUUUUCUUUGGAAAAAUGUCCGUUUAGCUCCUCUGCUCAUUUAUUGAUCAGGUUGAUUGAUUUUUUGUUGUUGAGUUGUGUGAGUUCUUUAUAUAUUUUGGAGAUUAACCCCUUGUCGGAUAUAUGAUUUGUAAAUAUUUUCUCCCAGUUGGUGGAUGGUCUUUUCACUUUGUUCCUUGUUUCCUUUGCCUUGCAGAAGCUCUUUAGUCUGAUGAAGUCCCACUUGUUUAUGCAAAAAGGAUUUUUGUGCCAUCUUCUCAAAGAGCUAUUUUGAGGUUUACAUGAGAUAAUGUAUGCAAAGAACUUCACAAGCGUGGCUUGCCAAGCGGUGCCAUGUCCGCACCUGGGAUCUGAACCGUGAACCCUGGGCCG